CACCUACGGGGGGCAGCAGUGGGGAAUAUUGAACAAUGGGGGAAACCCUGAUGCAGCGGCGCCGCGUGAGUGAAGAAGUAAUUCGUUACGUAAAGCUCUAUCAGCAGGGAAGAAAAUGACGGUACCUGAGUAAGAAGCCCCGGCUAACUACGUGCCAGCAGCCGCGGUAAUACGUAGGGGGCAAGCGUUAUCCGGAUUUACUGGGUGUAAAGGGAGCGUAGACGGGGGGCCAAGUCUGGAGUGAAAGGCCGCGGCUGAAC
rnacentral:rRNA from 1 species